AACGGAGACUAUAUUAUGAGAUUUUAGAGCAGUAGAUCAUGUUUGCAUUGAAACUCUUGUUGGGAACCGGAUGGAUCGUCCGUCAUGUGCUACCAACAAAGAUGCACGAAAAAUAGAGAAAAUCGACCGAACGGUAAAAGAAAUAAAUGCAGAAAGAAGAAACCAAGAUUUACGUGGUUCGGCAAUCGCCUACGUCCACGGGGAGAGCGAGAAAGAUGUAUUCCACUAUAUGAAGAAAUAAAAGUACAAGCUUACACCGUAUGUCUUCUCCGGAUAAAAAAAUCAAGAACCUUAUGGUGAAUUCCACCUUUCUUGUUCCAACGAAAAUUCCAAAAAAAUACCAGAAAAAGCUUUUCGUAAAACCGAGAAGACCAAAUUAGAGAAGUAUAGAAACUCUAACCAAAUUCCUUUAUGUCGUUGCUUCGAAGAAUCCGAACCGCUCAGGCAAUUGGUCGAGAAACCGUCGCUUCGCCGCCAACGUCAAUCCGUCA
rnacentral:lncRNA from 1 species